AGUCUUCGGGAACCCUAGCCUACGAUGUCUUUCUCCUCUUCUCAUCACGCGAUCUCUCCACGUUCCCUCUCCUCACAAAAUCUCCUCUUCCCGAUCUCCUCACACAAUCUCCUCCACUCACACGUUUUUGCCUUCCACCCCUUUGCACGAACCCCUCUCCUCAAAACUCCUCUCUGCCUAAACCUCUCUCGCUGAACAUCUCCGACGAAACCCCUCUCCUGGAACUUCUCCUUCGAACUCCUCUCAAACUAACCCUCUCGUGGCUCAUCCUUUUCUCCUGUCGACUCGUCUCUCACUCUCUUGGCGGUUUCCUCGGCGAUCAAGUGAGAGGCGGCAUGGGAUUCUUUAGGAGACUCACUCGACUGCCCAGCCCAACUAGGUUCGGCUUCAGUUCCACAUCCAAGCAGGUCACUGAGGGCGUCGACGCUUCCAAGCAGAUCGUCAUCGUCACCGAUCUGAUUUGUUUCCGACUUGAUUUUGGUGCCUAAUUCAUCCAAACUCCCACUCUUUCCUCGCUGCUCGUUUGGUGAUGGCUCCUUUUUAUAUUGAAAAAACUUUUAAAAUGUUAAUUCUUAUUUUAAUUUACUAAUGUUGUUUGCUGAUCGCUAUACUAAUAUUAUGUCAAUGAAUGAGAAUCUCUCUUCUAGAUUUUGCUGAUCGCCUACACCAAAAUUCUAGAUUCUUGCAUUCAUUUCAAAUUGCUCGAAGACGGCAAAGAGAUCCAUCGCCAGAUCAUUAGUCACAAGUAUUUCGCCGGAAACUAUUCUCUUCUCGAAAAGAUUGUUCAGAUGUACAUAUCAUGCGGCUAGAUUGAGUCUGCCCAUCUCGCGUUCGACGAGUUACUGCAACCAAGUGUCUUCUUGUGGAACGCCAUGAUCAGGGCUUAUGCUUGGAAUGGGCCCUUUGGUCGUGCCGUUGAGCUAUACCAGAGAAUGCUCGAUACAGGAAUCGAGCUGAACAAGUUCACAUUUCCGUUUGUCUUGAAGGCUUGUUCAGCUCUGGAGGCGCUUGCGGAUGGAAUUCUGAUACACGAGCACGCCAAGAAGGCAGGGCUGGAACUAGAUGUGUUUGUGUCUACUGCUUUGCUCGACAUGUAUUUGAAAUGUGGCUGGUUAGAGGAUGCACACGAGGUGUUCUGCAGAAUGCCCCAAAAAGAUGUUGUUGCAUGGAACGCUUUGGUCUCUGGUUACGCACUGAAUGGGAGGUACCAAGAAGCAGUUCGUUGUCUUCUUCAAAUGCAACGGACAGGAAACAUAUCGAACCCUUCCACAAUAGUGGCCCUCCUACCUAUCGUCGGCCAAGCGAAGGCCCUGAUACAAGGAAAAAGUAUCCAUGCAGUCUGUAUCAGAAGACGCGUCGAUAAAGGCGAUGUUCUGGUUAAUACUGCAUUGCUGGACAUGUAUGGAAAAUUCGAGUGCUUGGUUCGUGCUCGUAGAAUAUUCGACAGCAUGAGCUUCAGGAACGAGGUGGCAGGAUGGCGGAGGCAUUGCAAAUUUUCAGAAGUAGUGGGAUUGGAGCUGAAACUGCAAGGGUUAUGGCCCUCAGAGGAACACAUGUCAUCAUUGGAGCAAGGAACAUGGAAGCUGCCAAUGUGGUAAAGGAGAAUAUCCAACAGAAAACAAUGCUGGCGUGAUGAACUGUCCUUAUAAACUCUCAGAAGAUGGUAUAGAGAUGCAAUUUGCUACAAAUCAUCUGGGUCACUUUUUUGUUGACAAAUCUUCUACUUGAGAAAAUGAAAAAUACAGCAAAGGAGUCAAGAAUCGAAGGGCGUAUUGUGAAUCUAUUAUCUGUAGCUCACAUUGGGAUUUGAAAAUGGUAAUAGAAAAGAUUGUAAGCAAGUUCAUUAUGUGUCUUCCCUACUAAAUCUAUUAUGCCUUUAUGGUUUUUAUUAUGCCUCUGUCCUUUAUUGUCGCAACAAUAAUUUAUUAUUACAUUUAUGUACACUACAUCAUUGCAGAAAAAAAUCAAUUAUUGUACAACAAAAUUUGGAUCUUUAAACAUGAAUCUGCAUCCUCAAAGGAAAAGAAGUGUUGUCCAAAGAAAUAACUCAAUUAUUUCAUCAAGUGUGCCAAGGUCAUUGCAUCUACUGUACUGUUAUUGUAAGCAUGCUCUAAAUGAUGAAACAAAUAUAUCAAUGAUUUGUGAGCAUGGUUUCUUUGACGAUGAUUAUGAAAUCCUUGUGCACCUUGAAGAUAUCAUUCCUUUUUAUCAUUUGGAUCUUAUAACUACAAAUUGUAUAGUAAUUUACAUGUGGUAAGUCUUCUUAUUCUAUUUGUUUAUCAUAUAAAUUGUAUAAACUUUAUUAAUUUAGCAUUGUAACAUUCUUCAUUUUGAAAUGGUAGACAUCUUUAUAAAAAGCUAAAAACAUAUAACAAUGUCCACAAAAUUAGAUUUGUAAAUCCACAGAUUAUCCCAUAUGUGUCAUGGGUGACUCGACUGGACAAAAAUAGCAAAAUCGAGCACUUGAAUAAAAGAGCUGGUGUUUUGGCAGAUAAGCUGAAUCAAGCAUCAAGAAAUCAACUAAUUUUAGUGUCACAUGAUGUUCGUUAUCAUUGGAUUCUCACUGUCAUUGAUCCAUAUAAGGAGAUAGUUUUUUUGUUGGAUUCGCUUAGUCAUCGCAUUCGUGACGAGAACUGGAAAUACGUAGUGGAUAUGAGCAUAAGAUUAUUUAAUUCAAACAAGGAAAAAAAAAAAGGGAAAAAACAUGUUACAUGGAAAGUAAUAAAGGGUCCUUGCCAACCAGAUUCGAAACAGUGUGGUUUUUAUCUGAUGAGAUAUAUGAGAGAUAUUAUUGAAGAAGUGGAAACUAUCGAGAGAGAUUCACUUCGAUCAAUAUUCAUCAAAACGUAGUACUCUAUAGAAGAAAUUGAUGAAGUGCGUUCCGAGUGGGCAGAAUGCAUACAAGACUAUAUUUAUGACUAGAAAAGGGAGAAAGCUGGGUUUGCAAGCUAAGUCUAUGAAAUUCUGUAUGCAGAAAAAGGACCAGUACGUGAAGAUUGUUGCACAUCCUGAUCACUUGAUCUAUUCAGAAAAGGACAAGUUAAUUUGCAUGGUUGUUGUCUGAUAAACUUAAUUUUGUGGUCUCAUCUUUUGUGAUGGUCAUGAACUUGUGGUAAUGUUGAGAUAGCUUGUAGUAAUUGUAGAAGUUUUAAACUUAAGUGAAUGUACAUAUAUGUUGUACCAGUUUUUGGUUGAGACAAGAUGUAUAAAAGAUAACUUAAUGUAUAUAUGUUGACAACAGUUUUUGCUAA